ACGUGAAAAUUUUGGCUAGUUAUUAUCUAUUUAUUGACUACAUAAUUUUUCUUCCUUUUUAUUCAUUACCUGGUAGCAUGCACCACAUCCUAGACCAUUUCGAUAGAGUUCUGAUGCUGCUGAGACAUCUCCGCCAUUGAUUGUUGCUCCAAAAGUACCAAAUCCACAACUCCCAGCUGCAUGCAACCAAACAGAAGAGUGGGCUGCACGAGAACGAGUGAAACAAUCCGGGCAUGUUUGAGAGUUCCCCAGAGUUUGCAUGAAGAUAAAAGAUGCUACAAAGACAGAGAGAACUUGAAGAGGAGCCAUUUGGAUUAAAGAUCACAAGAAAGGGUAAUUAAGCAAAAGAGAACAAGUUGAUGUUGCAGGGAACUGAAAUGGCGUUCGAGUAUUUAUAGUGAACUGAAAGCAGCAAAUAAGCCCCCACAUUGGUAAAACUUAACUAUGACUUUUGACAUUCUGUUCAACUUCAAUUUUGAAUGCAGGGAAUUCUGGCUUUACUUUCCCAAGCAACCUUUUUGGACCUUGCAUCACUUGUUUUUAGAUAAUAUAGGGAGUCACUUUCUCACUUUAUUAGGUGAAUAUUUUGUUCUUCUUUAA